CAGCAGCCGCGGUAAGACGAGGGAUCCUAGCGUUGUUCGGAAUCAUUGGGCGUAAAGAGUAUGUAGGCGGCUUUGUAAGUCAGUUGUGAAAUCCCCGGGCUUAACCCGGGAAGUGCAAAUGAUACUGCUAAGCUUGAAUUUGGAAGAGGGUAGUGGAAUUCCUGGUGUAGUGGUGAAAUACGUAGAUAUCAGGAGGAACACCGGAGGCGAAGGCGGCUACCUGGUCCUAAAUUGACGCUGAGAUACGAAAGCAUGGGGAUCAAACAGGAUUAGAUACCCCCGUAGUCCCUGUCUCUUAUAC
rnacentral:rRNA from 1 species